CGCGACGAUACUAAAAAAGGUUUCACUCCAAACAGAAAAGUGGGAAAGAAACGUGAAACAAUUUCCCCGAU